rnacentral:rRNA from 1 species
CCUACGGGUGGCAGCAGUGGGGAAUAUUGGACAAUGGGCGAAAGCCUGAUCCAGCCAUGCCGCGUGUGUGAAGAAGGCCUUCGGGUUGUAAAGCACUUUCAGUGGGGAAGAAAGCCUUGGGGCUAAUACCCUCGAGGAAGGACAUCACCCACAGAAGAAGCACCGGCUAACUCCGUGCCAGCAGCCGCGGUAAUACGGAGGGUGCGAGCGUUAAUCGGAAUUACUGGGCGUAAAGCGCGCGUAGGCGGUCUGAUAAGCCGGUUGUGAAAGCCCCGGGCUCAACCUGGGAACGGCACCCGGAACUGUCAGGCUAGAGUGCAGGAGAGGAAGGUAGAAUUCCCGGUGUAGCGGUGAAAUGCGUAGAGAUCGGGAGGAAUACCAGUGGCGAAGGCGGCCUUCUGGACUGACACUGACGCUGAGGUGCGAAAGCGUGGGUAGCAAACAGGAUUAGAUACCCUUGUAGUC